rnacentral:rRNA from 1 species
UACAGAGGGGGCAAGCGUUAUUCGGAAUUAUUGGGCGUAAAGGGCGCGUAGGCGGCCGUGCAAGUGGAAGGUGAAAUCCCUCGGCUCAACCGAGGAACUGCCUUUCAAACUGCAUGGCUUGAGUCCGGGAGAGGUGAGUGGAAUUCCCAGUGUAGCGGUGAAAUGCGUAGAUAUUGGGAGGAACACCAGUGGCGAAGGCGGCUCACUGGACCGGAACUGACGCUGAGGCACGAAAGCGUGGGGAGCAAACAGG